AUUGAACGCUGGCGGAAUGCUUUACACAUGCAGGUCGAGCGGCAGCACGGGGGCAACCCUGGUGGCGAGCGGCGAACGGGUGAGUAAUACAUUGGAACAUGCCCAGUCGUGGGGGAUAACACUUCGAAAGAAGUGCUAAUACCGCAUACGUCCUGAGGGGGAAAGCGGGGGAUCGCAAGACCUCGCGCGAUUGGAGUGGCCGAUGUCAGAUUAGCUAGUUGGUGGGGUAAAGGCCUACCAAGGCAACGAUCUGUAGCUGGUCUGAGAGGAUGAUCAGCCACACUGGGACUGAGACACGGCCCAGACUCCUACGGGAGGCAGCAGUGGGGAAUUUUGGACAAUGGGGGCAACCCUGAUCCAGCCAUUCCGCGUGAGUGAAGAAGGCCUUCGGGUUGUAAAGCUCUUUCGGCAGGAACGAAACGGUGAGCUCUAACAUAGCUUGCUAAUGACGGUACCUGAAGAAGAAGCACCGGCUAACUACGUG
rnacentral:rRNA from 1 species